rnacentral:rRNA from 1 species
UACGGAGGUUGCGAGCGUUAAUCGGAAUCACUGGGCGUAAAGCGCACGUAGGCGGCUAGGUAAGUCAGAUGUGAAAGCCCCGGGCUCAACCUGGGAACUGCAUUUGAUACUGCUUGGCUCGAGUCUGAUAGAGGGGGGUGGAAUUCCAGGUGUAGCGGUGAAAUGCGUAGAUAUCUGGAGGAACACAAGUGGCGAAGGCGGCCCCCUGGAUCAAGACUGACGCUGAGGUGCGAAAGCGUGGGGAGCAGACAGG